rnacentral:rRNA from 1 species
CCUACGGGAGGCAGCAGUGGGGAAUAUUGGACAAUGGGGGGAACCCUGAUCCAGCCAUGCCGCGUGUGUGAAGAAGGCCCUCGGGUUGUAAAACACUUUCAGUGAGGAAGAACGCCUGGUGGUUAAUACCCAUCAGGAAAGACAUCACUCACAGAAGAAGCACCGGCUAACUCCGUGCCAGCAGCCGCGGUAAUACGGAGGGUGCGAGCGUUAAUCGGAAUUACUGGGCGUAAAGCGCGCGUAGGUGGCUUGAUAAGCCGGUUGUGAAAGCCCCGGGCUCAACCUGGGAACGGCAUCCGGAACUGUCAAGCUAGAGUGCAGGAGAGGAAGGUAGAAUUCCCGGUGUAGCGGUGAAAUGCGUAGAGAUCGGGAGGAAUACCAGUGGCGAAGGCGGCCUUCUGGACUGACACUGACACUGAGGUGCGAAAGCGUGGGUAGCAAACAGGAUUAGAUACCCCUGUAGUC